rnacentral:rRNA from 1 species
CCUACGGGAGGCAGCAGUGAGGAAUAUUGGUCAAUGGCCGGAAGGCUGAACCAGCCAAGCCGCGUGCAGGAGGAAGGCGCUGCGCGUCGCAGACCUCUUUUGCCGGGGGACAAAAGGCCUGACUCGUCCGUUCCUGAGGGUACCCGGAGAAUAAGCCACGGCUAACUACGUGCCAGCAGCCGCGGUAAUACGUAGGGUGCAAGCGUUAUCCGGAUUUACUGGGUGUAAAGGGCGUGGAGGCGGGACUGCAAGUCAGAUGUGAAAACACUGGGCUCAACCCGUGGACUGCAUUUGAAACUGUAGUUCUUGAGGGUUGGAGAGGCAGGCGGAAUUCCGUGUGUAGCGGUGAAAUGCGUAGAUAGACGGAGGAACACCAGUGGCGAAGGCGGCCUGCUGGACAAUAACUGACGCUGAGGCGCGAAAGCGUGGGGAGCAAACAGGAUUAGAUACCCCGGUAGUC